rnacentral:misc_RNA from 1 species
AACGCACGAGACCUGCGGACCUGCGGAGGGAUCAUUACCGAGUUUACAACUCCCAAACCCAAUGUGAACCAUACCAAACUGUUGCCUCGGCGGGGUCACGCCCCGGGUGCGUCGCAGCCCCGGAACCAGGCGCCCGCCGGAGGGACCAACCAAACUCUUUCUGUAGUCCCCUCGCGGACGUUAUUUCUUACAGCUCUGAGCAAAAAUUCAAAAUGAAUCAAAACUUUCAACAAUGGAUCU